AAUCAUAAGAGCUCCUUCAGUCCACCCAUACUCUGAGAAAUUAAUUAUGAAAGUCUGAUGCACAGCGUGAACCCUGUUUCAAAGUCACUAGACUACAGGCUACCAUCUGCCCAGCAACAGGCUGAUCAGAACCUUUACUCAUCUCCACGGAAACCGUGUUAAUGCCCAAUCACACCGAGGACUGCUGUUCCCGGUCUGCAGUCGCCUAGGCGACGGCCUUGCCUGGAAGUACGGAGAUGAUAAAAGCUACUUUGGACGGGUCGGGAGGAAGACUGGAGGGUCGCAUGCUCGAAUGACAAGGAGCGUUGGGUUAAAAAACCUCGGAAUCGGCCGGGACAGCCAUCAGAUCUUUUCUGGGGGGCAAACGUGGCUCAGAGUCAGGAGAAGGGUUCUCCCUGCAGCCCGAUGCUGAGCAGGAGGCAUCAGGAGCAGGGAACUCUUCCCAGAAGCAGCAGGUGAAGGCAAACACUGGACCACUGAGAAGCCCCUCCCCCACUCCACUCAGCCUCCCAGUAACAGCGUCCAGACAAACCCUCUCUGCACAGCACUUGUGGUGGGAGAGCCCAGCUGGUGGCCUUGAUGAGCACAUAUGGACCGCCCCUCCUGGGUUCGGCCAGCGCUCUCCCUGUCACCAGCACCUUUUCUACUCACAUUGUAAGAAGUCCUCUCUGGUCCUGGGCUCUACAAUAUGGACUUUUCCCACUGUAGGGAGAGUUCACAAGGGAAGAUGAGCUCCUAAUGAUAACCUUUAUUUUUAUUUUUAUUGGAGAAAUAAAAUUCCAUUUUAACAAAUAAAAUGAAUUUAAAUGACCGCUCAUUCAGGAAUAAAGUAAAUAUAAAAUAGUUUGAUUCAUAAAACAUAAUGUCUAUCAUUAUUUUUGUCAGUAGAAGGCUAACAGGAGAAGACACACAGGAGCAUUUACAUUCAGAUCUGAUACCAGUGGCAUUCUACACAAACUACCUCCAGAUGUGUGUCAUGCCACAAAUCAUUCUACACUGAGUUACUGUUACCUUGGGCUGUACUCUGACUAUACUCAUACUCUACACUGAGCUACUGUUACCUUGGGCUGUACUCUGACUAUACUCAUACUCUACACUGAGUUACUGUUACCUUGGGCUGAAUUUCAGAGAAACAGACACUGUGACCUGCUGCUGAUGUAUUAUGCAACAGAAAUAUUGUGUGUAAGUGCAGAUGUUUGUCUGCUAAAGUAUGUGUAUUUUUUUGUGUGUUUGUGACAACAGAAACCUCACCGCUACACAAUUUUUCUACAUCAUUUUUAUGGUCCAGUUGAUUAUAUUCGCUUAAGGUCAGCAUUCAUUAUUUUAAAAGAAAGAAGUGAGGACAAAGUAUUUUAGUAGUUCCAACCUGUUU